rnacentral:rRNA from 1 species
ACGGAAGGCAGCAGUGGGGAAUAUUGGACAAUGGGGGAAACCCUGAUCCAGCGACGCCGCGUGAGUGAAGAAGUAUUUCGGUAUGUAAAGCUCUAUCAGCAGGGACGAUAAUGACGGUAGCUGACUAAGAAGCACCGGCUAACUACGUGCCAGCAGCCGCGGUAAUACGAAGGGGGCAAGCGUUAUCCGGAUUUACUGGGUGUAAAGGGAGCGUAGACGGCAUGGCAAGUCUGAUGUGAAAACCCGGGGCUCAACCCCUGGACUGCAUUGGAAACUGUCAGGCUUGAGUGCAGGAGAGGUAAGUGGAAUUCCUAGUGUAGCGGUGAAAUGCGUAGAUAUUAGGAGGAACACCAGUGGCGAAGGCGGCUUACUGGACUGUAACUGACGUUGAGGCUCGAAAGCGUGGGGAGCAAACAGGAUUAGAUACCCUGGUA